rnacentral:rRNA from 1 species
UACGUAGGGUGCAAGCGUUGUCCGGAAUUAUUGGGCGUAAAGAGCUCGUAGGCGGUCUGUCGCGUCUGCUGUGAAAACUCAGGGCUUAACCCUGAGCUUGCAGUGGGUACGGGCAGACUAGAGUGCGGUAGGGGAGACUGGAAUUCCUGGUGUAGCGGUGGAAAUGCGCAGAUAUCAGGGAGGGAACACCGGUGGGCGAAGGCGGGUCUCUGGGCC